rnacentral:piRNA from 1 species
UGAGAGCAGACCAGAUGUCACCCAGAGC